UCGUCAAUAUUUUGACAGUCUUGUGAUGGAUAGGUAACCUGCGCAUAUAAAAAAUAAUAAGCCAUUAGCAUAUUUAAUUUCCUUCCCCUCUCUCUACACUCUUUCUUUUUCCUUCUUAAUUUCUUCUUUUUUUCAUAUUCUUUUGCUUGGUCUGCACAAUUUUUUUACUUUGUAUGUCAAUGUUUUGUAUGACUUUUUCUUUCUCUUUCAUUUGCUCUUUCAAUAUAUUGUUCUUUUUAUCCUAUUUAUGUUGUUUCCUAUAAAAACAAAACUUCAAGCUAUUACAAAGUAUUGGCUUUUUAUGGUACAAUGCCUCCUUAUCCACAAAUGGUAUACAUAGUAGAGGAAUAUUAAUAUGAUUAUCCUGAUCCUUAGAAAAGAACAGGCCCCCGGGACUCAUCCAAAAACAGUCUUCCAUCAAUCUUUUUCCAAAAAUCUGAAAAUAUUCCGUGAUCAAAUAAAAGAAGCUAACAAGACUUGUCAAGAUAUAUCCUAAAUCUUUCCCAUCAGCGCUUAUCAAACUCCUCUACUUCUUUGGACAUUACUGAUGUAGGAGGAAAAGAAUGGCCUAUUCCUCCCAAUGCCACAACCUAUAACCAACCCCACAAGCAUCAGCUACUAGAAGAAAUUUGCAAUGAUGGUCAUGAAUAUCAUCAUAAUUCCAUGUAAAAUCCUCCUGCAAUGCACUAUUAGCGAUGAAAUCUGCAAUUUGAUUCGCCUCUCGAAAAGUAUGAGAUAUCUUAUAGAAAGUCACAAUUGAUUUCCAAUGUAGAAGAUCAUUAACAUAAGGAAUAUGAUUAAGGAAGUGCGAUGAGGGGUUUCUUAGCCAAGAGAAAACAGUGGCCGAGUCCCCUUCCACCCAAAUAUGGGUAGCUUUUAAUUCAAGAAUAGCAACCCGGAUCCCAAGCCAAGCAGCUAACAAUUUCAGCGAAAGGAACAGAAACAUGAGGAAGCACCUUACCUCCGACUUGCAGUAAUACAGCAUCAUGGUUUCUGAUAACAUAGCCCGCAGCUGUCUUGUCACCGACUACUGAUGCAUCAAAAUUGAUUUUCAUGACCCCAACCGGAUGGGGUAGCCAAGACAUUAGCCGAGGUUGACAAAAGGCUGACUCCUUUUGUAAUUGGCUAUCCUAAUACUGACAUGGGGCUAGAAAAUAUGAAGAAUACAAGCAGCCAAAAUCUUUAGCAAAGACUAUCAGUUUGCGCAUAAAUUGGGUAAUCAUCAUCUGGUUGCUAUUAAUUAAAGAUCCAUUCAUUUUGAGCCCACCAUAGCAAUCAAGCUAUAGAUGCCAAGAGUGACCUCUGUUCCAUUGCUACUACGCUAUUCGAAAUGUGUUCAAUUAAAGCUGGCAACGAAGUAGGAUAGAAAUUCACUCGGUAUAUAUAAGUUAGUUGCUGCCAACAGAAUUGAGCAUACCAGUAGUGGAUAAUGGGGUAAGCACAAUCCUCCAUUUGAUCAAUACAAAGAUCACAAAACCUAUCUAUAGAGGGUAUAAUAUUACAGUGGACCAAUAAUUGUUUACAAGGUAGCUUAUUCAAAACAAGUCUUCAGAGAAAAGUUUUAACUUGCAUAGGCUCUUUAAGGGACCAAAUCCAAGCACAAUUAACCUAGAGCAUCAUUAGCAAAAGACAGCCAUUUCAUAUCUUCCAAGAAGACGUAUUAAUUUGGAAGAACCCCAAACCAGCCUGUCCUCCCAAACACCUUGAGAUAAGGGAAUAGUACAAAUAAUCUUAAGAAGAUCAGAAGAAAAGUGUAGUGCAAGACCCUGCAAAUCCCAAGUUCUAUCCGCAUUAAUGAAAUCAGAGACAUGCAUAUUCACGUUCAUAGAAUCCAUAUUAAUGUAAGUAGGCCAAGCCAUGAGAGAAAUAGGUGAUAUCCAUGGGUCCUUAUAUACUUUAAUGGUAGUACCAGUGCCCACCAUCCAUUGAAACUGAAAUUUCAAGUGAGACCCAGCCUGAGCAAUCUUCCUCCAAAUGAUAAAAACAUUUCUUGGACAGUUAUAAUUAAUCGAAGUUUUGGGAAAUUUAUAUUUUGCUUUAACUACCUAAGCCCAUAAUGAAUAUAGAUUUAAAAUAACUAGAGCAGCUAAUUUACAUAAAUAGUGGAAAUGACGUUGAUUUGAUAAUUGAAACCCUAGACCACCACAUGGUUUAGGAGUGUACACUUGAUUCCAAGCAAUAGGAUGAAACACACGCCUAUCCAAUACAUGACCCUAAAGAAAAGCUCUGAAUUCUCUAUCAAUCUUAUGAAGAACAAACAUGGAACAUGCAUAGAAGAAAAGAUAUAAAGAGGGGUAGCAUAAAACACUGAGUGGAGUAAAGUCAUACGACCGACAAGAGAUAACUAAUGUUCGCCAUUUCUAAGCCGUAACUUUGUUUGAAAUUUUAUCUAAUAGGAAUUGAAAGUUUGAGGGUCGAAGAGACGUACUGAUAAAGGGGCCCCAAUGUAAAUCCAGCCUUCCCAUUUUUUUGAGAUAUACAAUAGUUGCAUGACGUGUUGCUUGAUGGUACAUUCAAUGCCUAGGGAAAAGAAAAUAUGAGAUUUUAUAUAGUUAAUAGCCUGUCUAGAAUACAUGCAAUAAGCAUUAAGAAUAGUAGAGAGGCAUAUAGCAUUAUGCAAUGUAGCUCGAGCUACAAGUAAACAAUCAUUUGCAUAAAAUACAUGUGUGAUUUUUGGACCACCACGAAUUUUAUAACCCUUAAGAAGAUUUGACUGAGUAGCUACAUGAAGAAAUUUUGAAAAAGCUUCAAAAUAUAAAAUAAAAAGAUACGGUGAGAGGGGACAACCCUGCCUUAGACCUCUAGAAACAACAAAUGGGGGAGUAGACGUACCAUUCACCAACAAAACAAAUUGAGGAUGAGUAAUACAACUUUGAAUCCAAAAUAUAAAGUGAUUAGAUAAACCAAUCUGUCGAAGAAUAAAGAAUAGGAAAGGCCAAUGAACCCUAUCAUAGGCCUUCUCCAUGUCCAACUUCAAUAACAUAAGGGCCCUAGAAGAAAGAGCAUUAUAAAGGAAAUGCAUAAUUUCUUGAGCAAGCAAAAGAUUUUCUGUAAUAUUACGAUCAGCAAUAAAAGCACUUUGCUCCUUCGAAAUAUGACUAGGCAGAAAGGCUUUAAGUCUAGAAACUAGAAUUUUUGCAAUAAUUUUAUACACUAUAUUAUACAAGCUAAUAGGAUGAAAAUCAUAAGGGUAUUGUGGAUUAUCUUUCUUAGGUAUCAAAGUUAUAUACGUCUUAGUCCAAGAGUCCGAAAGAUGAGCACUUUGAAAGAAAAAUGUAUAGCAAGUAAGAUUUCUAGUUUAAUGAUGUUCCUAAAUUUUUAAAAGAAAAAACUUGAGAAAUCAUCAGAUCCCAGGGCCUUAUCAGAAUAUGUAGAUAUAAUAGCAGUUUCGAUCUCCUCAUCCAUAAUUGGUUGAAUAAGGGAAGAACACUGGGUAGGAGUUAAAACAAAACUCAUAACAAGGUAAUUCGGCUCUGGAAUUUUCGUAUCCAUCUUUCAUCUAUCAUGGAAAUGAGCAAUCAAAACCUCUUGUAUAAUAUUUAUAUCAUUUGUGGUUUCACCAUGCGGAAGAAAAAGGGUAUUGAUUCGAUUAGAGAGUCUUCGAAGAAUGGUGGAAUGGUGAAAAAAUUUUAUAUUCACAUCGCCAUCUUUUAGCCACUAGAUGCGAAAUUUCUAUCACCACAUUAAUUCAAUACAAUGCAAAGUGUGAUUAUAAUCCCUUAGAAGAGAGAGCAGUAGCAACAAAUGAUCAUGAAGAGACAAACCCCUAGAUUGAGAUUCCCUAUUUUGCAUGUCGAGAAUACGAUCAUAUAACUGUCAAGCAAUAGUGUUCAAAUUCCAUAAAGUGUAUUUUCAAGAAUUAAGAGCAUGAUGGACAUUUUUAAGAAGUAAAGAGACCCUUUCAGUAGGAUUAUGAGUGGAAAAACUGACCCAAAAAUUCUAUAUCAAUUCAAACACUUUUGGAUAGGUAAGCUAAAUUUUUUUCAAAACAAAACAACUGAGGUCCCCUAAUGGUCUUAUCCAAAAUAGAAACAAGAAGAGGACAAUAGUCCGAAGCAAAAUGAAAGAGAUGAGUGAUUGAGGAUUCAAGAUAUAGAUUUAACCAUGUAUCAGUAGCAAAUCUCUGAUCGAUUCUCUCCCACACUCGCACAGCACCACCAUGAUUGUCGCACUAAGUGUAAGAGGGAUCCAAAAAAUCAAGAUCAAUAAGACCGGUAGCUCAAAGGAAAGCAUAAAAUUCCCUAAUGUCACGAUCAAUAGUAAAAAGCUUGCCCCCUUUCUUAUCCACAGUAUUCAAAAUAUAAUUAAAAUCUUCGAUAAGCAAAAGUGGAACUUGAAGAGAUAAAACAUCAUGAAUUUGAGACCAUAAAAAAUGAUGUUGAAAAAUGGAAGUACUAGCAUACACAGUGCCUAAAAUUCAAGAAGAAGCAUGAUUUAAGAUGGCCACCCCAAAAGUAAUCUGUCUAUCAAUAUGAUAAAAAUUAAUGGUACCCAAACUUUAUUUCCACACAAUGGCAAUACCUUCUGAUAAUCCAACCACAAGGAUCAUGUAAAAAUCCCAUGCAAGGCCAAAAAACCUGUAGAUGUGAUUAGAAGUAUUCUCACCAAGACAAGUCUCUAAAAAAUACAUCAUGUCCAUAUUAUGCUGCCAAAGCAAAACUUUAGUAUAAUUUGCAAAAAGGGACUCAGCAGCACCCCGACAAUUCCAAACAAGUAUCUUCAUUUUGGGGAACCCAAAGGUUGAUUCAUCUGUGACAACUCAUCCCCUGUAUUAUCCUUGGGGAUCAUCACUUCCCCCUACGUGACAGGCACAUCAACCAAAGAAUUUGGCAGGAGAUUACCUUGCAGCACAUCCUGAAUGUGUUAACAGACUCCUUCAUGAGAUUUGAUAGGCUGCAAGUCCAACGACGGAGGAGCAAUUUGAGAUGGUUGAUGCCAGUUUCUAGAAUUCCCUCUGAAACUCCAUGAACAUUAGAAGGCUCAAGAGUUAAAGCAUUAACCGGCUUCCAAACUUUUACCACCGAUACCUUGGCUUUACUACCCAUUCCAUUGUUAGUAGACCCCUGCCUAUGGGCUGACUCCUCCCCAGGAUUCUGCAAAAACACCUUAGCCUAUGGUGGGGAGGAUGAGUUGGAAUGAUUCUACUAUUUUGUAGGAGAACACUUGCGCUUAGCUUUUCCUUUUCCAAUAUCAGCAGAAGUCACAUUGAAAACCAUUGAUUCUGUAAUUUCCAUGUUCUGAUGCUCUGAGAAGUCUUCAGAACUUACAUUAUCUAGGGGACCAAAUUUAGAAGUGUAUGGAAAUAGAUCUUUACUUGGACCCAUCAUUGAUGAUUGCUUAGCUAGCUUCUUUGACUGAAGCCAUUCACUUGUUGACUGUCUACCAUUAGUAGCAAGGGAUAAAAGUUUAAUCUAUACUUGUGGCUUAGUCAUCGGAUCUACUAGCACUUAUGAUGCUCUAAUCCAAGGGCCAAAAAAUUAUUUUGCUCACCACUCUUGGUCGAACAAUCACAGGUUUUAGAAGAAAUUCUAAUCCAGCCACAAGUAUAACAGAUAUCAGGCAAUUCCUCAUAUGUAAAUUGUUGCCAUAAUAUUUCAUCCUGAACCUGAACCCUUGCUUCUGAGCAUACAAGCUUAUUCAAAUCCAAUAAGACACAAACACAAGCAUACCCCAUGCAUGAAGAGUUUAAAGUCUAAUCAUCUAAAAACAAAGGCUUAUCGGCAAAGGAUGCAACUUUUAGGAUCUUUUUUGCAUCCCGUAACUCCAACGGGAGACUUGGCAACCGCAGCCAGACCUGCAAUUGACUGAUUGUGUCCCACCCGGGGUGAAACUUUGGUCUCCAUGGUUCUAGGACAAGCAAUUGUCCGGCUAGUGACCAUGAUCUCCUUUCAAGAAUGCGGUCCCUAAUCUCCUCCAAAGGAUAUUGGAAAAGCAGUAGUCCUUCGGACAAGGCUGAAACAUAAAACUCACCUUGUACAUUCCAUCUUAUAUGCAUCUUUUUCUUAAUAAAAUCCAAAGGAAACCCCUUACCUAAGAACUUACCUAUCAAGGCUGAUUGCAAAUGCUGAGAUAAAGGUUGGAUUUCUUCUUUCAUAAAUUGGAUGACCUUCGAGAAUCUCUACUCCAACUGCAUAAUUUCUGCAUCAGACAUUUUAGCCAUCUCCCAUCAAAAUCUUCUUUGGCCUUGCACAACUUGAGUCCAAGGAUGGUUCGGAUCCACUACCGCAUUCCUCGCCGAAGAUGCUGAGCUAGCAUAAUUUCUCCCUCGCAAGUUGGUGGACUUCGGAAGUGGAGAUCUUCUAUUUUUGCUUGGAUCCUUAAUCGGCUCACCACCAGUGGAAGGGGGGGUUGAGGAUGAUACCUCCACUUUUACUUUUUCUUUUUUGUCUCCAGCAGCUCCCCUCGAAUCAACCUGGCUUCCACCAUCAGACGGAUUAUGGUCGGUUAAACCUCCCAUCUUCUUUGCCUUAAAAUCAUGGACUGAGUCCGAAGAGUCACUGUCCAUGACCACAAAAACCCACUCCCAAACCCUAUGAAAGAGACCAAAACAAAAUCCUAGCUCUCAAAACCACAAGGAUGAUGACAAAAACAAAGAAACCCUUUUCUGUCGUGAGUCUCUCUCUCUAACCUAUCUCUCGUUGGACAGCCUCGGUUUCCCUUCCUCCAUUAAAAUCAAAAAAUAUAUAUGUGAUAGCCCAACCAAG
rnacentral:lncRNA from 1 species